UACGUAGGUGGCGAGCGUUGUCCGGAUUUACUGGGCGUAAAGGGAGCGUAGGCGGACUUUUAAGUGAGAUGUGAAAUAUCCGGGCUCAACUUGGGUGCUGCAUUUCAAACUGGAAGUCUAGAGUGCAGGAGAGGAGAAUGGAAUUCCUAGUGUAGCGGUGAAAUGCGUAGAGAUUAGGAAGAACACCAGUGGCGAAGGCGAUUCUCUGGACUGUAACUGACGCUGAGGCUCGAAAGCGUGGGGAGCAAACAGGAUUAGAUACCCG
rnacentral:rRNA from 1 species